GUUAUAAAAGCUUAUCUCUUUUCCUUUCUUUUGAUACAUUAUUCUGUCCUUUUAGCAAUAUCUUCUGCAUGUUAAUUUAGUGACCUUUGCAAAGAUUAAAAUACCUUUCUCUCUUGACACUUGACACUUUGUGCAACCAGUGGUUCUGUCGGUUUAUGAGUAAUUUUCAUCUUUUUAUGGGCAAAAUUGAUUAUGGAAAGUACCAAUAACUUCCUAAAAAUCACCAUUUCUUGAACGAUUUGCAGUCUCUUUUCGGAAUGAUUUACCAAGUUUAAUGGACAAAUUAACACCAAAUUAGACAGUGAAAGCAAGAAAGAAGAAAUAAGAGAAUCGUUAUAACUGUGAAAUUAAAUCGGAUGCGACAGUUAAAAGAGGAAUAUCAAAUGUAAGUAUGGGAUAGGAUCAGCUGAAAUGGAAAGCAAAGGAUGACCAAGAUUUCUUAUAAUCAAUAACAAGAGGAUGUUUAUUUGUGAAUUUUUAUAUGUUAGACAAUUGAAGUUGAGAGUCAAUUGUGAUCAGCUUUCAUGGAGAACUGAAUAACCUAAGAAUCUUUGGAGUCAACAAAAUACCAACUAUUUAGCUUCAAUAAAUGUAUAUAUGAAGCCACAUUCCAGAUUUUCCUUGUGCAUGGUGUAGAUCGGAUUACAUUAAACCGUUUGUUAGUGGAGAAAAGUGUUUCCCAUCUUAUUUCAGUCUUUAUUUCAAAGAAGAUGAUAAAGAAGAGAAACAGUCAAGACAAGCAAGAAAAGGAAUGGAUGAAGGCAUAGAUGAAGAUACAGAAGGAAAGGAAGCCGGUCAAGAAGAUCAGACGAAAGACGAUAAAAGAAUGGUUAUGAUGAAGAUUACGGCGAUGGUUUACAGGUGAUGGAAAUGGAUUGAUUGUAAUGAAAAAUGAACAAAUCCAAUCAGCUUUAUACAAACCAUUAGGUUAAUUUGUUGAUGAUAAUUGGUCAGAACUGUUCUUUGUUGGGUUUCCUUUGGCUCAAUUGAGAUUACUAUUGAUUAAUCAUUUAACUCAAUUUGGGAACAUUUACAUGGAGAAAGAACAAAGAAGAAGGAAACUCGGAAUAUUUCAAUUUAGUUAAUGAACAUGAAUUCAAAUAGGAAAAAUGGUCUAAACCUGUCAUCAUGAUGAACUUCAAAUAUGAAAAAUUACCAAGACUGGAGUCAGUUUGCAUUGGCUAUACUGGAUGAGAAGACGAUAAAAGUAAGGAGCCGAGGGAAGCUUAAAGGAGGCAGAAGACAGACAGAAGAGGCAAAAAGCAUCAGAAGAUGAAGAAGAAGAAGCAAAAAGAAGCUGAAAGAAGAAAAAUAACUCAAGAAGGAAAAAUUCCUUAACCUUUCUAACAAAAAGAUCAACAGCAAGUGACAAAAAUAAUAAUAAUCAUAAAUCUGCAAAAUUGAGUAACAGAAAGAAAAUAAAAAUCAACAACAGCCAAAAGUAAAUUGUUAACCUUGAUUGUGGACAAUUGGUAUUCAUGAUAUUUAGACUGGUCGAAAGCCUGUGUUAGGUCGAUUCUUUGACCCUCUUUUUCCAGGACAACUACAUAACUGUAUAACUGUCAAAUAACAAGACCACUAAAUAUUUUGAAAGGAGAGAGGCAAAAGGUUGAAAAAAAAGGACAAGAGUCAAAAAGGCAAUGCCAAUGGGAGUGGAUAUUUUUGCAAUGUAUACAACAACAAUCAAAGGAAUCUCGAAAAAAACAAAUUACCAGAAAAUGAGACGAAUGGAUGACAAAUAUGGCUUGGACCUACUUGAAUGAUUAUUUUUGGUUCAAAGAUUGCCUUCUACAUGAUAAACACAGCAAUCCUUCAGGUUGAAGAUCAUGUUUUUACCAUUGGUAUUCACCUUUAUUCACAUGUAAUGAGCAUGAAAAAUUACAGCAAUGGAAACCGGUAAACCAAAACAGAUUCCAUAAAAAAAAGCAACAGUCUAUUCAGGAUGACUAUCCAUUUUUUUUCUUCAUCUCACUCUCAACUGUCCUGCAUUGGGCCUGAUACAAAAUAUGUGAAUGAUUACCGAUUCAUCUCUUAUUUUCCUGAUAUUUCCCAUUCAACAUAUCACCUUCACUUAAGUCAUAACUUGACGUCAACAAAACAAAAAUGUUAACCAUUGCAUUACAUGAUACCUGUACAAUGUUCAACAUUAUGAUAUAGAAACUUACUAAACUAUUUCCUGUCUCAUAUAUUAAAACAGUUUCCAUUGGAAAAAGCAAGGUAACACAGCUGACAGAAAUGGAUUGCCGGUUAGAGUCACUGGAGAGACCAAUAAUAAGGAUUAAAGCAUAAUCUGGUUGAAAAAUUGCAUUAUCUGCAUUUUUAUUUUCAUCUUCAUGGUCACGAUGAAACUGGAAUUAAAUGGUUUAACAAAUCAGCUAAACUCUUGACCUACGUUGGGCUACCUGUUUGACCUUAAUCAUGGUUCCAUUAAUAGUUAACCUUCUUCCUUCUCAUCAUUACCAGCAUUACCAUCAUCAUUCAUAAUGCCAUUUCACUAAAUACUCUUCAUACUCUUUCCUCCGAUCGGAUAAAAAAUGUUCUUUUGACCUUAACUGAACAGUCCAUAAAUCGUUAUUGUAUCUUGAAAAGUAAAACAUUUCCAUAGCAACUUUGGGUGUGUAACGGGUGCUUAACAUACUUGGCUAAUUUUUGUAGACCUGGAAAAAAGAUGAAGAGAUUAAAUUAUCACUUUCAGUCUGUUUGCUCAAAUUUGGACCUACUAUUUAUCUCAGCGAAAAAUCGUUUCACUCUAAAAUACACCUUUAACUAUUCACCUUUCAGUUGGCCAGUCCUACAACUAAAUGCAGUAACACAAAGUGUAUCUUUAUACAAAUGAUAUACAAAUUGUUUUAUUUUUUUUUCUUCUUCACACCAAUUUGAUAAUUCGCACUCAUCAUUUUGCGAAACCGUAUGUGGUAUGUUGUUUGUUUUCUUGGCUUCAAAUGCAAACAAGAAGUUGAUGAUACAUGAUGGAAACUGAGGUCAUAAAGAGAAGAGGAAAGAUUAUUCUGGCGAUGAUGAAAAGAGGAGCAGAUGAAAAGGGAAAAGGUUAACCAAUCAAGUUUUUUGUUCAAUCUUUUCUUUUCCUGUUGUUGUUCAUUUCAAAGAGAUGUUUUUCAAGAGUCAAAGAAACCUGAAAUCAAGAAUUGAAUUGAAAAAGGUUCAAAUUGAAGAGCCUAAACUAAGAUACAGAUGAAUCACAUGAAUUAACUAUAAUACUGGCUUAGGAUAAUUGCUAUUCAAAACCAAUCUAACAGCUUGGACAAAGUAUCGAUUGUUAAUUGGCUUCCCUUUUUUGCAAUAUUAAGUGUUUUCAUUUUUUGAUUGCUGUUCACUUGAAUUUUAUUAAAAGCCAAGCCUUGGGUUUGCCUCACUUCAUCAGCAUUGUUACCUUGAUCGCCACUCAUUUUACCUUAUUAAUAAUGGUAAUUUGGAGUGUUAUUCAAUCAUUAAAAGCAGCUUUUGUCUUUUCUGUUCAUCAAAAUAUCUGUAAAACCCUUUUUUGGCUUUUAACGAUUUAUAAUGUUUGAUCAUUCAAAUCAUUAUUAUCAAAGGAAACAAUCAAACUCACAGUAUUAUAUAAUCUAUUAUAAUGAUUCUUAAACGCUAUUAUCGUAAUUUGGAUUGGCAAAAGUAAAUCUUAUUGUCUACUGAUUGUAUUCCAGCUCCAAGAAUCAUCAGCAUCUAGUUUUUUGCUCCUGUUCAUCAUUCAUUUGAAUAUUGGUGACUUUUUUGUCUCCAUUCAAAUCAAAUUUUCAUUUCAAUUGGGACCAUUAAUUCAAACAGUUUAUUCAAAAUGCAAGCCAAAUCAAAUGAAACCAAAUGCUUCUUGCUGCUAGUUUUUCAGUUAACCUGGCUUAACGUUAAUUUUACCUUUUUAUUACUAUUAUUAGUAGACGAAAAUAAUAAUCGUAUAAAAUGAUAUAAAAAAACAAAGUGUAAUCAAACAGACUUCAUACUUAAUCCAUCUUAAUAUAUCUUUCAAUGAUCUGAAUCCAAUCACAAUUAAAGCGCAGCAAACUAAAUGUAAGAUCAAAUCUAAACCUUUCCCAGUGAUUUGUAUUAACUGAUGAUUCCCAUCUUUAUUGAUCUUGAAUAAUGGAUCAUUUUUUGCUGCUUUUUUUCACAAUCAAGCUUCAACCUUAAUCACAAUCACCAGCAACAACAAUGAAACAACGGUGAAGCAAAAAAACCUUGUUAUCCUUUUUUAGUCAACUGGUUAGUUGAGUAACCAAACCUAAUUUCAAAAGAAACUGUUAAUGAAUUAUUUUAGCUGGCAAGUUGCACCAAUUAAACACAAAUUAACAAAAACAA